GCCCGGGUAGCUCAGCUGGAUAGAGCAGUGCUUUCCUAAAGCACAGGUCACAGGUUCGAGUCCUGUUCCGGGUG
rnacentral:tRNA from 1 species